GACGAACGCUGGCGGCGUGCCUAAUACAUGCAAGUAGAAUGCUGAAGGAGGAGCUUGCUCUUCUGGAUGAGUUGCGAACGGGUGAGUAACGCGUAGGUAACCUGCCUGGUAGCGGGGGAUAACUAUUGGAAACGAUAGCUAAUACCGCAUAAGAGUAGAUGUUGCAUGACAUUUGCUUAAAAGGUGCAAUUGCAUCACUACCAGAUGGACCUGCGUUGUAUUAGCUAGUUGGUGGGGUAACGGCUCACCAAGGCGACGAUACAUAGCCGACCUGAGAGGGUGAUCGGCCACACUGGGACUGAGACACGGCCCAGACUCCUACGGGAGGCAGCAGUAGGGAAUCUUCGGCAAUGGACGGAAGUCUGACCGAGCAACGCCGCGUGAGUGAAGAAGGGUUUCGGAUCGUAAAGCUCUGUUGUAAGAGAAGAACGAGUGUGAGAGUGGAAAGUUCACACUGUGACGGUAUCUUACCAGAAAGGGACGGCUAACUACGUG
rnacentral:rRNA from 1 species